rnacentral:rRNA from 1 species
GACGAACGCUGGCGGCGUGCUUAACACAUGCAAGUCGAACGGAAAGGCCCUGCUUUUGUGGGGUGCUCGAGUGGCGAACGGGUGAGUAACACGUGAGUAACCUGCCCUUGACUUUGGGAUAACUUCAGGAAACUGGGGCUAAUACCGGAUAGGAGCUCCUGCUGCAUGGUGGGGGUUGGAAAGUUUCGGCGGUUGGGGAUGGACUCGCGGCUUAUCAGCUUGUUGGUGGGGUAGUGGCUUACCAAGGCUUUGACGGGUAGCCGGCCUGAGAGGGUGACCGGCCACAUUGGGACUGAGAUACGGCCCAGACCCCUACGGGAGGCAGCAGUGGGGAAUAUUGCACAAUGGGCGGAAGCCUGAUGUAGCAACGCCGCGUGCGGGAUGACGGCCUUCGGGUUGUAAACCGCUUUCGCCUGUGACGAAGCGUGAGUGACGGUAAUGGGUAAAGAAGCACCGGCUAACUACGUG